rnacentral:lncRNA from 1 species
UAGAAUAUAAUUAAGGACUGUUUAUAUUGUUUUAUAUUUAAAUAUACAUAUAUAGAAUAAGGAGAUAAGUUAUGAAUGUUAAUGAGACAACUAUUAAUCAGUCCAAAUGAUAUGGAUGUUAAUAAACUCUAUAUCAUCUUCUCCUAGAGGAUAGUUACACUUUAAAUAUUUCACACAUUGAAGCAAUGUUCACGUUUCAAAAUUUAUUUUAGAAACCCACUCAUAGAAGUGAUUACAAAAUGCCAACCCUAGAGGCCACAUAAGACAGAUAGAAAAGGUCUCUGCUAAUCUUAGAACUUAUAGAUAUAUCAAUUUAUGUCAUUGGUUACCAUUUUAUUUCAUACCC